rnacentral:rRNA from 1 species
AUUAAAACAGCUAUAGUUUAUUUGAUAAUCAAACUUACAUGGAUAACCGUAGUAAUUCUAGAGCUAAUACAUGCUGUACACCUAACUUCAUGGAAAGGUGGUAUUUAUUAGAUAACAACCAAUAUUCCGCAGGUCUAUCGUGGUGAAUCAUAAUAACUGAUCGAAUUGCAAAGCCUUUGGCUGCGAUAAGUCAUUCAAGUUUCUGCCCCAUCAGCUGUAGAUGGUAGUGUAUUGGACUACCAUGGCUUUCACGGGUAACGGAGGAUUAGGGUUCGAUUCCGGAGAGGGAGCCUGAGAAACGGCUACCACAUCUAAGGAAGGCAGCAGGCGCGUAAAUUACCCAAUCCUGACUCAGGGAGGUAGUGACAAGAAAUAACGAGCAGUGGCAUUCGCCACUGAAUUGCAAUGAGCCGAAUUUACACCACUUAGUGAGGAUCGAUUGGAGGGCAAGUCUGGUGCCAGCAGCCGCGGUAAUUCCAGCUCCAAUAGCGUAUAUUAAAGUUGUUGCAGUUAAAAAGCUCGUAGU